AAUCUUCCACAAUGGGCGAAAGCCUGAUGGAGCAAUGCCGCGUGAAUGAAGAAGGUCUUCGGGUCGUAAAGUUCUGUUAUUAGAGAAGAACAAGUCAAGGAGUAACUGUCUUGACUUUGACGGUACCUAACCAGAAAGUCACGGCUAACUACGUGCCAGCAGCCGCGGUAAUACGUAGGUUACGAGCGUUGUCCGGAAUUAUUGGGCGGAAAAGGGGGCGAGGGGGUUUGGAAAAUCUGAUGUGAAAAGCCACGGCUUAAACGUGGAAGGUCAUUGGAAAAUGUCCAACUUGAAUGCAGAAGAGGAAAGUGGAAUUCCAUGUGUAGCGGUGAAAUGCGUAGAUAUAUGGAGGAACACCAGUGGCGAAGGCGACUUUCUGGUCUGUAAUUGACGCUGAGGCUCGAAAGCGUGGGUAGCGAACA
rnacentral:rRNA from 1 species